rnacentral:tRNA from 1 species
GGUUGUGGCUCAGCGGUAGAGCAGUUACCUAGCAUGUGCAGGGCCCUGGGUUCGAUCCUCAGCCCCA